rnacentral:rRNA from 1 species
UACGUAGGGGGCAAGCGUUAUCCGGAUUCACUGGGUGUAAAGGGAGCGUAGACGGCUUUGCAAGCCAGAUGUGAAAGCCCGGGGCUCAACCCCGGGACUGCAUUUGGAACUGUGUGGCUAGAGUGUCGGAGAGGCAGGCGGAAUUCCUAGUGUAGCGGUGAAAUGCGUAGAUAUUAGGAGGAACACCAGUGGCGAAGGCGGCCUGCUGGACGAUGACUGACGUUGAGGCUCGAAAGCGUGGGGAGCAAACAGG